AGCUCCGUGUUGUACCGCGAGCAGGUAACAGAGCCAAGCACGGAGACGUGUCUGUUUCCCGCUGAAUGGAGCUACCGGCCAGCGGAGCGGGGACUCGAGUCCGUCUCCCGGUGAAAAUGGCCAAAAGAUACUCGAACAAGCGAAGGGACGGAGAGAUAAAAUAGAAAACAUGUUAACAUAGACAGAUAAAUGCCCGGCCGGACCAUUCCUCCUCUGCGAACACACGCGACUAUGAGCGCUCACAUCCCAGCCGGUCACCAAGCACGGCCGCGGGGACACAGACCUGGGCACAACUCUGUAAGCCACUAAUUGCCCCUCACCUCCUCACACACACUUUUUCAUGUUGCCACAUGCCCACACACUUCUGCCGCAGAAAGAAUACAUGUGGCUGAAGCCGCAGGUGCGGAGAUGGUUGGAAAGUUGUAAAAAGCACUUCGACUUUAGAGUGUCCUGCCUGGAAACCUGGUGUGUUCAAACCCCACGGGCGAAGAUGUUUUUGCGACUCAAUUUCAAAGACAAGGCUCCAGCGAUCCCAUUGAUCCUCACGGAGCAAAAAAUAACCUUUACCCGAAACAGUGACCAGGAGGGACUGGGAAGACAGAAAGUGGGAAAGCAACCUUUCCUGGUUAAAAUGUGGGGAAAUGCCUUAUGAUUUCCAAACAACCCAGAGCUGAGGAGGUCACUUUUCGGGGAGAGCAGGAGAAGAUGUGGGUUCAAAAUGCAGAAUAGUCACAGAUUGUUGCUGAUGUUGAAUUUGCUGAGGAAAAAAAUAAAAGCCAAAACCCAAACCACAACCCAACACCAACCUUUCCUGUCUCGGAUCUGACAAAGUAAACAGGAUUAAUUCACCAUAUGAAAAAACAUAAACGCAGUCCUAACAAACGCAGAAAUAAGAAGAGAAAGCGGUUUUAACAGGACGCACAAUAUUAAUAGUUUGAACGUAUGAUCGUAAAAAUGAAAAACCAUUGAUACACGCUUAAAAGCCGCCGUAUACGCUGAUUGCUCAAGCAUUAAUGAAGAAUGCCCCAGAUUAACUAUUUGCUCUUCGAGGGAUGCAGCGAUAUAACUAUCUAUUAGCACCAUUAGAUGCUUUGCUAUUUAUUUGAAAACACCCCUGCGAGUGGGUUGAGACAGAAGAGAUGAAUGUAAAAAUGAACUGCAGCUAAUUUCGCUAAAUAAUCCUCGAAACCUGAGCGCCUCGCAAGGAAGGGGGAGAUUCUCCACUGUCCUUCUCCGAGGCUAAUGACAAUAGAAAUGCUCUGGUUUAAAAGUGAGACCGUGUUGGUUUUCCAAAUAAACAAACGCAUCCCUCCUGCCAUUUUACUGCAGAUGUAAAUUUAUUUUAAUGAGAGGGAGUGGAAGGAUUUAUUUUGCUAAAAUAGAGUUGGGGAUAGAGCCGGUGUAAAUCUUUAGGUUUCAAAAAGAGAGGAGGAAGGAGGGGGAAGCUGCUUUCCUGGCAGAAAGCUGCCUAACAGUCUUCUAAUUCUUUCUAGAUUAAAUCGCAAUAUGAAUACAGCAUCGAACAAAUACCGAGUUUCGCUCUGAACUCAGUGGAAAGCAGUUACGUCUAACAGAAUUCAAUGAAUUCCUCUUCUCCCUCAAUGUAGUAUGUGUGUGUUUUUCUCUUCCACCACACUGAAGUUCCAUGAAUAGGGAAAGUGGCUCCUAUUGUGUGCCUCUGAACUUCCAAGUCAAUGCAAUUUUUAACCACUGGCUUGUGGUACUUUGAAAAUCACCAGGGGCUGUCAGAGUUGGGUCCUCUGAAAAAUUUACAGUGCUAAAUCAGAGCAUAUGCUGUGAGAGAGGAAAAAAAAUUGCUUAAGAUUGGAGCAAGUACAGUAUCUGGCUGCCCCCUAGUGUAAGUCUCUUAUCUGCCUAAAAUUCAACUUUAAAAGAAAAGGAUCUCUUAAAGGGAAACGACUUUUGGCUCACGUAUGCAUACGAGAAUGAAACUUCUGUACAUUUUAAUCUGAUUAAUUCCUAAGGAUUUAAAAUUAAUUGGCUUGGGCACUCCUAGACCGGACUAUAAGAUUUCUGCAUCAGGGUUUCUGCGAGAGCUGUGCCGAAUAGAGCAAAACACUUCUGCUGCUUAAAGUCAGAUCUACGCCUUUUGCAAUAAUACUUUAAAAAAAUUUUAAAAAGGAUAAAUAAUUGCCUAAAGCCUCAGCCGAACUGCCAACCACACCUUCGGAUGUUAGAAGGCAGAAAUAUUUGAACUGCUGAAAGAGGAAUUUGGAAGAUGCCCAUGUCUAAGACAAUGGUGAGGAUUGGGCCAAAAUCCAGAUCCAGCCUUGAUUCCUUCCUCCAAGUAAGCCUGUGUUGAGCCACGACUGCUGAUGGAUCGCAGCGUCCUCUCUCCUCACUGCCCUGCAUCACAUCACCAGGAGCACCUGACAGUACUGUGAGUAAGAGACGUUUUUUUCCUCACACCAAACAAUUCAUUGCAAAACUUCAGAUUUUGAAAUGACAAGGUCAAAAUGGCUUAUAUCUGCAAUGCUGGAGCUUGGGGAGCAUUCCUGCAGUUCUUAUACCCAGGGCUGGAAACACAGGGAAAAUAUUUUGUGGUGCGUACUAUAAUCACCUCAUACCUAGAAAAAUGGAGAAUUAAUUAUUUCUCUUUUAACACAAACAAACAUUGUCUUCCAAAGACUCCAUUCAUUAAGAACUGCCAUUGAAUCCAAGAUUGAACCUAUUGUUAUUAAUCCUAAAUGAAUUCAAGUUUGCCUACCAUGAACAAAGCUGCUCGCCAUCUGAUAAUCCAAAUUUGCUCAGGAAAAAGAAUGAGCAAAUGUUAGAAGCAGCAGGUGAAAUCAUACCACAGUUAUUAAGCCUUUUUUCAGGGGAAGCACAGGAUAGAUUAAAUUGUUAUGUUAGGCCAUGUUGUGAGUCCACGUCAAUUUUGUCUGAGAUCUUAUCUUAGCUCAGAACUGUUUCCUCCUAAAUUAAACUAAAUGUUGAAGACAUGAGAAGUGUAUUGACCCAAAGAUUCAAAACUUUGGAUUCAGCAGACUUUUGAUCUUUUGUCCACAGAGUAUCAAGUUGUAAAGCUGUGGAAUAUUAAAUAAUCAUGAUUAUCUUCAACUUGCUCAAGUUCAUUUGUCAUGCUGGGACACUGGCACAGAUUUUCCUUGCUGGUUUUUUGUCAGAACCAGGCAUUGAUUUUGCCUGCUUGCUGGUAUCAUUUGCCACUGAACUUAUAGACUGUGGUCCUUUCCUAAUAUUAUGCACCAACUGUGAGCUGUAAUUCUGUCUCUAGUGCUCUUAAUCUCUCUUUUGCAAACACUGUUGUCCAAUAAAGCAGCAAACAAAAAUCUUACAAUCAAAACAACUGAAUUAUGCUGGUACUUCGAUCAGCUGUUAUCAGGCACAGGCAGUUCUUGAGAUUCAAAAAUGCAGUGUAAUUCACCCGGGACAAGAAAUCAAAUUUAAAAAUGAGCUGAACAGACAUUUUUAGGAAUAAGUAAAUUUCUAAAUAAACCAGCUUUUUAAUUCCCCCUUUUCUAUAUUAGAACAAAUCAAUAUUGUCUGCACUUGGAGAUGAGUUUCAACUGUCAUAAUUAAAUAUCAUCCUGCUUCUUGCAGCACAGCCAAACAAGGACUUUUACUCCUGACACAAGAGUUUCCUCAAGUAGGGACAACUUACUAGCUUAUUACAGCAAUGAUUUAAGAUCCACAUGGUUCCAUCAUAUUUUAGAAAACAAAUCUCUACCAAAACACACAGCACAAUUCAUCCCUGGAGUCAGAGCACUGAAGAGAUGGAGUAAUAAAAGAAAUAAUAUAUUUUAAAUGCUUUUUAAAUACAAACAUAAUGAUGAUACAUUAAAUAAUGUGAUCUACCCAGCCGGACUUCUAAUUAUCUACAUGCAGACCUCAUGUUCAUUCAUCACUUCAUUCUCUUCAGCUGUAUUGUUGUUUUUUGGUAGGCACUAACACUGAGCUAUAAGUUUGAAUGGAAAGGGAAACAAGGACAGUGCAAGGCUGUAUAUUAGCUUAGACAAGUAGGAUGUCAUUGCCAGCCUGAAUUUGUUGAUGACACCAGGCAUUAAGCAAGUAAAUCUUCAGCCACUGAAGCACGAGUUUGCUGACUUGAAGUAAUGACAUCCAGGAGGUGAUGCAGUGGAUUUACACCAGCAAGUACCUAUGGACUAAUAAUGGCCACUUAGACCUCACCACAAAAUAAUUAGUCAAAAUGGAGAUUCACCUCUCCCCUGAAAAGAAAGAUUUUGUUUUUCCUUAUUUUAGUCUCAUUUCAAAUGUUCAAGAAUCUGGGUUUGACCUUUGAGGAAGGGGAAGGACUUUUGUCUCUGAAGAAUUGAGCUCAUGGAGUCAAUUCCCAUUUGCACCCAGCAAAGACCAUGGAGAUUUUCAGUGGUACAAAAAGGUAUCAGCUCCCAAUCUAGGGGCUGAGUGUGAGGCUGGGCCUUUCUGUGGGCUGAGGUUGGUUUCCAUUUGUACCAGGUAUAGGUGGUCUAUAGUGGUUUCACCUAAAUCCUUGGAUGUUUCAGGUCCACACGCACAUGGUGACUUCACCUGCUGAAAACACAGGAGCCAUCACAGUUCUUUGUCCCAGCUAAACUAUCUCGUUCCCCUUCUGCAAUGUUUUCUUUCCAUAAUCCUAAUUCUACCAUCCCUUUCCCCUAAUAACAACAUAAAUGAGUACUCUACAGGUGUAAUUACAGUAAUAGUUCUUUUACUGCAAAUACUGGAAGCCUGUAACCUGUAAUUCACUUUUUCUCAUAGUCUCCUAUUCUAACACUAGACAUGUUAUUUUAAAAUGUCUAGGACCUGAAAGCUAAAUUUGUAGUGAUAGAUAAUAGUAAUGGAAACCAAGUAUCCUCCUUAGUUCAGACUUUAGAGCUGUGCUGUAUCUCUUGGCCAAUUGUUGCCUUGUUCACCUAGAAAUAUCAUACCCACCACUCCCACAGUAAUUCAAAUAUCAGAUUCAAACAGAAGGAAGCAAAAUACAUCUCAAUUUGUUUAUUUUAGGGUAGGAAUUCAUGAAAACUCAAGACAUUCUACCAUGCAAUGUCUUUUUUGUAAUUAUUCCAUGGCAGAUUCUGGGGCAAUUAUUGCUUCUCCACAGUGAAUGUGCCAUAUUUCUGAUAACAUGAGCUACCCUUCUUUUCUAGGGAUGAGCCACCACCACACUGUGAUUGGAAAGUGUGGGGACCAAGCACUCAGGGAGAUGCUGAUGCAUCUGGUUCCCUGGCCCUGGGCUGUGGGUCAGCUCUUGCUCAUGGCACAAGCCACCAGAGGCCAGAGAAACAUCGUGGGGAUUAUUUCUGUCUUGGCUACUCCUCAUCAGUGCCUUGAGCUGCAUGAAGCCCUGAGAACCAAGGCAACACGAGUGCACCACCAGGGAUUUGCUCCUCUCAUGGUCUACACCUGAAGCACAGCACAAAGUUCCACCCUUUGCUUCUGCAGGUAGGAGCUCAAUCUAAUUUACAGAUUUAGUGUUAGAAGCAAGGCAAUUAUCCUAAAAUAACUCAUGCAAACGGUCACCCUCUUCUAGAACUGACAUUGUUUUGUCAUUUUCUCUCCAUUUUCUGGAUGGAGCAGCCAGCAUGAGGAGGGCAUGCUGGCACAUACCCUACUUGAUAGCUGAAAAGAACAGACUGACAAGUAUUUUUAAUAUGCUUAUGAACAUCCCAGUGAAUAAAGGGCAAAUUAGAUUUUCCACUGGUUAUUCAUAAAUCUACAUGGAGAUGUUGAUAAACUGCUAUUUAGUCCAGAGACUAAACAAAUCACCAGAUAAAAUACAAUAUUCCUAGUGAAAUCCUUUAUGGAAUGUGUUCCUGCCCCAAACCCGUCCUGGAAUAGGCACAGCAAUGCUCCCCGAGACCUGGCAGCCCUUCUAAGUGAGCAUAUGGUCUGCUCAGCUCUCACAGUCCUGGUGCACGGUGAGUAAACACACUGUACUGUCAGGGCAAACAGGGGGCUCUUUAAUAGCAUGACAUUCUGUGCCUGCUUCAAACUCCAUCACUACUCCAGAAAUGGAUUUCCCUUCUCUGCUGGAGCGUGCACUGUUUGCAGGAGGGGCAGGAAAAAAAGGUGAGAGAGUCUCCUCGGAUGGUGUCUGUAACCAUCUCCCAUAAAGCUGGUAAGGCUGUGGAAGGGUCUUGGUGUGUCAGAAGUUGCAUUUUCUGGUGAUGCUACAUCGCCUUCCCCGUUCUAUUGAGAUGUCCCCUGAUGCAUUGUAACUUGCUCAGUUAUUGGCAUAGAAAGAGGGACCUGAAGGUAAAAUUCCCGAUGUUGAUCAAGGCUGGCAAAGGGCAGAACAUUAGCUGCAGUAAUUGUUUUUCUGAGGGAGUCAACAAAGCCGGGCUCGUCUGCACUAGCAAACAGAUCUGGUCCUGCCUCUGUGCUCCUCACACUGGCAGAACACUGCCCUGAAAUCACUGGAGCAGGGAUCGGGCCAGGAAUGAGCAGCUAAGUUGCAAAGCAAAUUAAUUCCUGCCAAAAAAGUUCAGCUAUGCUCAGAAGUAUGUAAAGUGUCUGAUUUGAGAAGUGUCAAGUAGCAUUUGUGACCAAUUAUCCAAGAUGAAGGGGGCAGAGCUAUGUUUACAUGUACUAAUCUUCAGCCAAAGUUUGAAAACUCUAAUUCAUGGACACGCAUCAAAUUUCCUUUCCAGGCUUGGCAUUUGCCUGUACGCACGCAUGCACAUUGCUUGGGGAUGACAGGAAAACAUGAUUAUGACUUGCAAAUAAUACAAAUAAAAAAAAAAAGAAAGAGCGAGAAGAGCUGCCAUGCAGCAGCAGCGUGGUAAUUAAACCUAUAUUGUGAUAUGCAAAAAGAAUCAUGGACCACCGUAUGAGUAAAAUAGCUUUAUCAGCUGUGCUGAAAUAUGACGUGUGGUGUGUCUGUAUUGUUAUUAUUCCACAACCUGUGAAGCCCUGGGAAAUGAUCUACACAAAAGAACAAGAAGUAAAAGCUGCCUCUGCCAUCUUCUGUUUAAUUAACAUAGGUAUACCAAUUUAAUGCAAUUAAUCAAGAUAGGAGGGAUUAAACAGUAACUCAGCUGACAACGACAGUGUUAGCAUUGCUGUGGCAUAGGAAGGGCUGCAGAAUGAGAGUGGUGACUGGGAAACACUGUGAGGAAGAACAAGCUGGCUGCAGUUUUGGGAGGUUUAUGCAGAUGUAUUGAAAUCUAGGGGCAGCUGAUUUUUCAUGUGGCCAAGUGUUUAUCUGCCCCUGCCCUUUCCUUUACCCUCUCAGACCUUCCAGGGUAAUCCCCAGAGUGGCAACAACUUUUAAAGCGAUUCCUCUUUCUUCUAACGGAUUCCUGAUGCUAAAGGUCUGACCUUAAAAUGAGCAGUGCAUAGGGCAAGAGUGGGUACUGCAGUGAGCUUCUGGCCUUCAACCCUUCCAAAUACAGCUAUUUUGGUAACCAGAACAGUAUAUUCAUGAUGGGUGAGGGAGCAGAGCCUUCCAGUGCAGGGCUUCUCAGCACAUUAACUCUGUCAGUGCUGGAUUCUGGGUCCCUAUGCAAGUUGCCUCUUCCUAUUUAAGACCAUAAAUGAAGGUUUGCUGAAGUCUGAAGCAUUCUGUAACUUCAUGGGUGUGCUUUGGUGCCCGAUGCACCUAAAAACUGGACUGAAUCCUGUGGAUUUCCAUGUGGAUCUGGGAAGGACUGUAAUCACAUGCAGCUGAGAGUAGCUCAGACUUGGAUUUCUUGUUGGCAGGAGGGGCACAGCCUGGUUUGCUACAAUGCAACUGUCCUCAUUAAUGUUCUUCAAGCCCUGAUGUGCUGGGACCGCCGUGGUUGGGUCAGAAGAUGGCUGAGUUUUCCAGGCUCAUUCUCUUGUCUUCAGAAUGUUAAAUUGGGUGAUAAUGAGUAGUAACUGUGUCCUUUUUUAUGGUGAAGUUGACACUUGCCUUCUAGUAAACAGACACAGAGAUGACCCUCCUCAUUUCGCACAGGUCACCAAACAGCCCUGGAAUGGUAGGGGUUAUUGGCCAUUUACCAAACUCUGUUUGACUUGGGUUCAUGGGUGAGAGAUGAAAGGCUCUAUAUUGCAUUACCAAUCCCUGAGGCCAGCCAGUCUCCCUGAAGAAGCAUUUCAUUUAGCAAGGCAACUGCUGGCCCAUGGGAAUCGGAGACUUGGGAAAAAGAGGACACAGUUUCAAUUGCAAAUGUGUCCUUAGGGCAGAUGUCUUAAAGCCACACAGAAACUCACUGCUUCAGUGUCACAAUAGUUGCUCCAGGACACUUAAUGACCAGCAGAUUUUCCCCUUUAAUUAAUCUCCCUUUUUUCCCCAGAAAACAUCCGUUAGGUUACUUGUGGUGUUUCUGCCUCUGCUCUGUUUUGUCCAUCUCCUUGGGGCAAGACCAUUGCAGCAGCUGUGAACUGUUACCUUUUCCAAGAGCUUCAAAAUUGAAACAGAUGAAGCAAGGAGCCCUGGUAUCACACUUAGAGGUGUUGGGCUCUUGGGAGGAGAAAUGAGUACUCCUGAAGUGUCCAAAUAUUUUCCUUACCCUAGAGCAAAGAUGCUGACUGAUUUUCUUGGUUAUAGUUGAGUGAUCAUUGCUAUUGGGGUAGUCCGAGUGCUGCCUUUUUACAGAUAAUGGAUGAAGUGACUGAUGGCUACAGGAAGAAGAAUAUCUGGUUCAGACCAAGAAUUCAACCCAGACUCAUCCUGAAUUUCCUAUGAUCUGAAAAUCCAGUGUUGUUCUAAAUUCAUUAUCACUGAUUAAAAUCCUCUUUCAGUUUCCUCCCUUACUGCUUGUGAUGUGAAUCAUGAGACAUUCAGAAGUUGCAUUUGUUGUUUGAUGAGUUUUACAUCACGGUUGUAAUAGUGUAUCUGCCAAGUCAGCAGGUUUUUUUUUUUUUUUCUAUGUUUGUUUAUUUAUUUACCACUCAAUUUCCAGCAAGUUCUUGUUACCCAGUUCCUGCUGACAGCAGGGGAAGAGGCACAAGCAAGCUCAGAAAAUGAACCACUAGAAGGCUGGAGUCACAAGCUGGACUUAAACGAAGAAACUUCCAUGCAGUUCUCGGGCCAAAGGGUCAUGGAUGACGACAGCUCACAUCACUUUGGAGCUGCUGUAUCUCCUAAGAGAAAUCAGGAAGAUGACUUGGGAGAGAUGCUUUACUUUCUUUGGUAGGAGAAUCUAUAAAUUAACAUUUAUGUAAGUGAGACUCUCACCACAUUUUUAAUGUUGUAUCACAUUUUGAGGCUGGAAAAUAGAAUAUCUUGGAACUAGGUGAUCUUUAAGGUCUUUUUCAACCCAAGCUCUUCUAUGAUUGUGACCUUCAGAACACGAUGAAUUCAGUGUUAAUAAUGCAAUCUUAUCUCUCGUGCCCAUAGGUGCUCCUCAGCUCUGCCUUGAGGUGACACCAUUAAGCAAGAGGUGACAAACCGGUUUCCUUUCUCAGGCUGAAUGUCACGAAACUGCCCAGGGGCACAUUUUGGUGGGGGUUGCACCCUGGCUUUUCAAGGAGAGAUGUGCUGCUGUGGCCCCUUCCCACCCUGGCAGGAGGAGCUGAAACUGCUCAUUUACAACUGUGACAUUUCUCAGGCAGGAAAAAAGGCAGAAGACAUCAGGCUGUAGGGAGGAAUCAGAGCAGCCACCUUUAGACACCUCCAGAAAAAGAAACCUCCAGAAUUCAUCCACAGGAGAUGAGCUCCCAGGGCUAGACCAUGCUGGUACAAAGGACAGUGGUACCUUUCUGUCCACCCAACAAAAUUUGCUGCUCCUAAAUGGGGGAGCAGAUACAUCUAACCCCAAUUGCUCUGCAGUUGAUAGCCCUGCUUCAGUGAAGAGAGCUCUGAGCAGUGAUGAGUGUUGUAGGAUAUGUGCUGCAGCAUUAGGAAGGUCCAAAAAGCCCAAGGAGCAGUGCAGAGCAUGUGUCACCAACAAGAAAACAGCAUGAGAAAAGCUGUUGUAAUUCCUGUCCCCAGCAGCCUAACUGGAGGCACAGACUUCCCAAGGCAGAGAGGACUUGAAGAACUCGGGAUAUGAAGUGAGAGCUCUCCCCAAACCCUGCAGAUUUACCAGGUCAGCUCAGUCCAGGCCAAAGUUUCUGGGAAAGGUCCUGGGCUCUACUCCAAGUUCAGUGCUCUAUUGAUUGGAAGAGGUAUUUAUUGUAGAUCAGGAUCUUGAGCCAAGGCAGCUGAAGCUGCAAGGACUAAAUUGUCUAUUCCCGACCCACAGAUAAAACAAAUGGCCACUUUUAGCCUAAUCAUCACUUCUGCCUGAGGAAAGAGAAACUCUUUGAGGUAAGUUCCCUUGGAUAUAAUUCUUUCUUUCUAGGUUAAAGAAGGGCUGCAGCUAAUACAUAUCCUGAGUCAUAAUGUGGAUUUGCACCUUUCCUGUUAAAUAUAGCUGGUUUAUGUCCAAAGGAUCCCUUCUGUCCCUAAUGCUCACUCAUAUUGUUACAACUUCUACAUUAGUUGCAGGUGUGAAAUGCCAACUGAUCCACACUUCUCCUGCUGUCAGCAGGGGAGUAAUGUGUGUCAAAGGCCUGGUUCUCAGAGGGAAGGUCACCCGGAUCUCCAUUUGCACAUCUGCUUUGCUAAACACAAAACUCUGGAAGUUUGAAAAGCUCCAAUGUGUAUAAAAUGGGAUGUGGUCACUGGGGGCCAUACAGAAGGAACUGCUUGUGCCUGUCAUUUAGUAGGCAGGACACAGAAUUUCCCUCUGUAUAAAAAAAAUUCUUCCUGCAUUACAACAGGUGAGGUGUUAUUUGUAAUGGUAACUUGGUUGACUUGUUACUUGUUUUUAUAUUAAUAAGGAAAAAAAAAUACUACACUUCUCUGCAUUCCACGAGAAGACAAGAUACCAAGAGAUGAAAAAAGAGCCUCACACAUUAAGCAGCUUCAGAAAGAUGCAAAUAUUCAGCAAGUCCCUUCUUGGAGUGUGCAGACAUGAAGAUCAGGAAAGUGCCUGAUCAGGGCUCCUGGAGGGGCCGUGCUGCUGGAGCCUGCCUUACACAGAGGCAUCCUGGUUUGCUUCUGAGGGCUUCCAGAGGAGUUUCAAAUCUUUCUCUUUCCUGCUGUUAGUGGAUUUUUUUCAUACCUUGGAAUAAGUCUUCCAAUGGUAAUGUGUUUGCAGUUGAUGCCUAGAUAAUAGUUCUUGCUCAGGGGACCUCUAAUACACAGUAUUUUAUGCUUUCUACAUUUUAUAUGAGAUCAAAGACUCAUCCUAUAUGUACACAUAUAUGCCUAGUUUUUUCUUGGUUCCUGCUAGGAUCUAGACUAUCCCUCAGUAUCUUCCAAAAGGAUGCCCACAAGUAACCUAUACAAAGUGGUUUUUAGUCUUAAUAUAUUUGGCCUUUUAAUGUCAUAUGUUUAUGACAUCAUGAUUCUGGUUACUCUGCACUAAUAGGACAUCUUAAACACAUGCAUCCAAGCAUCAUUCACCACUAUGCACUGUAUUUUUCCUCUCUCAGUUGACUAUUUACAAAUUUUUUGUGGGGAUAGUGAAACCAAUAUUGACUUUUUUAUCCAAAAUGAGAAAACAGGGACUUGGUCAUCAGUUGAAUGCUGGUGUUCCAUGGAUGUAACAUCAUGUUACAUGGAAUUUAGACCUUGUAUCCUCAUGGUAAGUUAACUGGAAUUAAAGAAAAGUGUUUUCUAAAGACCAAAGCAUACUGGGGAGAGCCAGGAGCUGAACACAUAGCUCAGAGCAUGUUUCAUGAACACCUCUAAAUUCCAGCCCUAAGCCUCUGCUGCUCAUAAUGGACAUCUCCUCAAGGAAGGAGUUGAAAAUAAUUUUCACAAGAAUCAGAAGAGAUUUAUUUUUAAUGCUGAGGAAGGAGAGCACUUGAAUUUUAAAGAAAAGUUUGAUUCUGGAAAAGACUCUCUGUUAAUAAGUUUGAGGAACUGUGCUUUACAGUGGCUGUUUGGCUCUGCAUGGAAGCAUCUGUUGAAUUCAGAGAUGCCUUUCCCCUGAAAUUUACACCAGAGAUUCAGAAAUUUCAUCUUUGAUCAGAACAUCCUCAUUACCUUCCUGAGUAAAAGGAAUGACCCUGGUUUCCCUGGGCUGUAUGCUAUAGAUAUGAUAGACCUAUGAAAAGAAAUGGAGAAAGGGAUACUGAUUUUCUUGGAAUGAAAUACAUGCAAUUUAGGCUUGGAAACCAUUUGAGUAUAAUAUGCUAAAAGUUAAAAGAAACAUUUUUAAAGAAACAUUUUCCAAGAGCAUGCCUGUUAGUUUUAUCUUCAUUUUUGCCAUGUAUAAUUAUGAGAAACACAGACAACUCAUAAGAUAUUUUAGUUUCUGUUGAGAAUUGCCUUUUUAAAGAUAAUUCUGUACACUAUUACUUUAGCCCACUGGGUAUCAUGUAGGGAAGGUGUAAGAUUAUGCACAUGAAUAUUUCUGUCUACCACUUAUGCGUGCUGAGACAAUAUCAACUCAUACUUUCUCCUGUCAUUGGUCCUUAUUCCAUAGAGGAUAUUCUUAAUUACCAGAAAGACAAUUUGGUAAUAUCAUGUAAAGUGUAACAGCAUAAUUUCUGUGAUGAUUUACACCUGCUAAGGAUGUGAAUACUGAAUUUUAAAGCAUAUUUUAAGUUCAGAAGAAAGAGUAUUUUUUCCACAAGACACUAUUUCUAUUUUAAAUAGAAAUACUCUGAUUUAUUUAAUUUAUUGGUGCAGUUCUUAUAAAUGAAAUGAAGCAUUUGAACAUGAGGACACCAUUUUUACACAUUUUCACUGCCCUGAAAAUUUAGAGCACACUUCUGUACUGGAUUAAAUCAACUUGAGUCUAAAUGCCUAAACACUAUUUUUGACAACUGUGCAUGAGGGACGUGCCUGUACAGGGAUUCUAAAGAAUAAAAAACCUAAAAAUAUCUCAGUUGCAAAGAAAAUUCCCUGUAUUCCUUCUUACACUUCGUAAUAGUGGUUAUAUAUAUAUCUUUUUUAACCCUCACAGGUUUAUCCCUAUUUCUGUUGGAAAUGAUAGAAAUUAUUCCAUUGACUUUAACAGACUUGUUUCCUACUGGAUUAAAGGUGAAAUUUGUGCAUUGGAGUUGCUGAUGAUGUCCCACUAAUGAAACAGGUAAUUUUAUAAACGUGUCAGGGAGGGUAAGUGCCCAAUAAAAAGAUGUCAGAUAGAGAUCCACAAAUUACAGUCUAUUUGUAAUGGAAAUAAAACCAGGAAUUCUUACUAUGAGUCAUGAAUUUCUUUAUAAUUGCUUCCACAUUUGGGGCAACUUUUUUCUAGGUUGUCUACAGAAACUCUGCAUUUCUUGGGGCUUUUGAUGGCAGUUAUGAUCAAAACAGCACAUCUCAUUUCUGAUGAAAUUUACUUACUUUGAGAAGGACUAUUUUUUUUCUCAAAUUGUUUUUCUGAGUCUUUAUCUACAACUAUUUUCUUAUCCUCCUCUUCAUUUUCUAUUUCUAAUAUAAAACCAGAAGUCUUUAUCAAUUUAGAAGAGCAAUAAAACUAAAGAAAAUUCGGGCAGAACUGCAAAGCAUGGUCUAUUUUAAAGUUCCAAUUCAGAUAAUAAGGCUCUGGUUUGUGCUGCAUCUCACUCAUGGACUCAGUUUUCCAUAGUGCAUUCAGUGUUGUAAUAAUGCAAAUCAAAUACAAUUUUAAUAACUCCUUCCAUUAAUGUUUUAAGACUGCAACACUUAUGAGCAUGAUUCUAAUUGCAUGAUUUUGCUACAGGCAAGUUUUAUAGAUCUGCCUGAUCUUUGGAUAUUUGCACCGUUUGGAUUAUUUUAAAUAAUUAAUUUUUGGAAGCAUUUCAGCCUCAGUAACAACAGUUGGGUUUGAUAGUGGUUGUCUUGUCAGUAAUUGUAUGUAUCUGCUUCCAUGCCAGGAUAAACUAGAUAAAUUUAGAACUCUUUGGAAGGAGGUGGCUGAGGUUUAUACCAUGGCAAAUGUUAUGGAGAACGUUCUUAGGAAGGGAAUAUUUAUAGACUAUGUUAAUAGGAGCAAAAGGGGUUUAAAGUGAAUAACAUUUUGUCAUGCAGCACAAUUAGUUAAUUAAAUUGCAGGACUUUCUGCCAAAAGAAUACCAAAAAUAUAAUCAACUUAGAAUGCCAUUAAACAUUCUUGUUUUAUUCAA